CAAUCAUCUGGCUGUUAAAAUCAAGAGACUUCAGACAGCUGUGAAUGAAGAACCGCAGCCAGAAAGAAACCAGGAUCUGGGCUCAGAUGAACUGAACUACGCAGCUCUAAAUUUCCAGGCACAACCCAAAAGAAGCCGCAGGCCUGCAUCAGA